GCUGAUAGGUCUACUCCUUCCUCAGAAAAGUUUGAUGUGACGAUGAUGUACACGAUGUUACGUAAUCGUGAUCCAAGUCUUCAAGCCCCGACUAAAGGUUGGGGAAGGACUCCGGAUACAUCCGAUACAAGAUUGACUGAUGACGUAGAAAGGAUCCGGAUUUACAGAAAUGAAAUUGGACAUGCAACGGAAGCAACAAGUAAAUUAGAAAAGAAGGAACUAGAGAAGAAAGCACGAGAUCUCAUGCAGGCGAUUCUGAGGUUGAGCAACGGAAUGCUGAAACAAAAAAUGAUGAAUGUGUUGGAAGGAAGAACAUAGCAAAGUGAGUUCCAUGGAUGACAAAAUCUUUGAUGAAAGUCAUCUUUCAAGGAAAACAAGACCUGAUUUCCAAGGCUGCAGAAAUGACGUCAAAAAAGGAACUCCAAUCUAUUUUUAUAUCAACUAAUACCAAUUUUGGAGGACUUUGUGUACAAUCAAAGUGAUCUUUAACAAUAUAAUAUUAUUAAUUUUGUUGAUUAUCAAUCAUCAUAUAGGAAAACAAGGCAAUUUAAAUUUACGAUGUACAUGCUUUUAAAAAAUGAUGUCAUUGAAAUUGAACUUUUUUCUCAAAUGAUGUCAAUUGGAAAUAGAAGUUGAACAUUUAAAAACAUUAUGAUGUGUAAAUAUAUUAAGGCCUAAAAGAUUCAAGUAAGUUGAGCUAAUACAAUGUAAAUAUACCUUUUAAAUUUGCCUAUUUCUGAUUAAAAGCAUUCUAGCAACAAACUCAAAUUAUAUAUGUAUAUAGUCACAAACAUGCUAGAAAUGUCAAUUUAGUGUAUACGGUAUUGUUCAAAUAUAUAUAUUAUGAAGAAAAAGUGCCACAAUUUCAGUUUUCACACUGUAGUAAUUUAGCUUUAUUAAAGAUUUUUCAGGUCUUUUUUCGACAUAUUUUGUGUUACAUGUAUUUGAAAUUUAAUCCAGGCCCAUACAUCAGAUGAAUAGCUUUUUUGCUUAAAAUAUCUGCUUAUAAAUUCAUUAAAAUGUGCUAAUUUGCUUUGUAGGUCACCUGAGUAAUGACCUAUUGCUAUCCAUUUUCGUCCGUCGUUGUGCGUUGUGCGUUAAUAUUUGCACAUUUUCAGCUUUUUCUGCAACCACUUAACCAUUUUCAACCAAAUUUGGUAUAAAGCAUCUAUGAGUAAAGGGGAACAACACUUGUGAAUUUCAUGUUCAUUGUCCCCCUGGGGUCUGAGGGGUGGGGCCAAAACCAGUAAAAUUAAUGCAAUAUUUAAAAAUCUUCUUCUUUACUCCUGAACAUCAAGUAGUCA